GUUCCGAAAGGAUCGCGACAAGGAAAGGUACUCAUUCCGAUCCCUAUGUGAAGCUGGGAGAGCUCUUGGUCGAGGAGACAUGGCUGGAGGCUCUCCCCGGCCAGCUUCAGAAACCCUACGCGCAGAACCUGUGCAGGUUUGUGGAGAUGGAGAUGCGCGGCAGCGUCCCUAUCUACCCUCCGCCCCACCUAAGAGCUUAUGCUGCUUGUUCGGUUUGGCGGUGUUCAGGAUGAUUGCUUAUGCUGCUUGUUUAGAAGGGUCUGAUCCAGUUCGGCUCUUUGACAAGAGAGUGAACGCGAAAAGAGAGCCUGGUUAUGUUUUCGACAAGGUCGUCCUGCUGCAAUACAAUCACAUGAGCUUUGGCGGGGCUCCUGUUGAGGUAGAGACAGAAGAAGAGGCAGAAGAGUUGAUGCUACAAAAUGAUAAGGAUUCUGCAAACGGUAAUCAGCUCAAUAGGUUUUAGAAUAUAUAAACAUUUUUGGUUGGCAUCUGUUUAAGCUAAUAAAACCAUUUGGUUGUCGAAUACUUGCAUUGAUGCUUGAAUUGUAGGCCGUGGUCAUCAUUUUCAUAGUUAUUUCAGUAGGUUGAUCAUUGUGAAAACACUAUGGCUUGUGAUCUACGCCUUCGGUAAGUUGAAGAUAAAAUGUAAAUGUGAGUUUGUUACCAGAGAUGAGAGAUUUUUUGUGUCUCCAACUCCACCUGAUGACUAUGACAUUCACAUGGUGCUGAUAUGUGGAUGAUAGAAAUUCUUCUCAAUAGUGGGUUACUGUAAGAAAAUUAUCAGUUAUUUUCAUUUGUUGACAUCAUGCUGCCAGGAAAUUGUUCAUGUUCCCUAGCCAAAACUUGAAUGUAAUUUAUAUACUCAAACUUCGGGACUACUGAUCUGCCUUGUGAAGCUUUUGGUUCUACCUUAUAUAUGGUACCAAGGUUAAUCUCUUCUAAUCAAUAUUGCUAGAAAAAAAUAGCCAUUUCUUCUCUUUCCUGAAAUGCACUAUUUUUUACUUUUAAGAAUAGAACUGACAUGGAAAAGUGUGUUUCUGCGUCUAUUAUAACAUGGGUUGAGAUAGAAGCAUACUGAAACUUCUGUAAGGGUGCAAGCAUGUGUAAUCACUACACACAGAGUUGGGAGAAAUAAUGAUUAUGUUGUUCCACAUCAUUUAUUGUCCAUCUUUUUGACUGUUUAUUGUGCAGUUAUGUAAGUUAAUGCCUGUUAAGGUCUUAGGUGAAAGUUAUCAAAGUUCAUGCUAUCUUUUCCAGCUCUUCAUUUGACUUCCUUUGAUGAAGUCAAGGCAGUCAUUAUUGGACAGGUAGACUCCUUGACCUGAAUCAUUUUGUUAUGCCUCAUUGUAUGUCCUGUUCUUUGAGUUUCUUGUUUCUUACGCAUGCUACAACUUUGACAUUUUGUGCCUCCUGAUUCCCAUUUAUUAACUAGAUGAAUAUCAAGUUUAUUCAUACUGUCAUAGUGUAUUGAUCUAGUAGCAGUGGCUUGUAGAAUGAUGUUGGUCAUUUUAUCUGAGGCCUCCAUUAUUUGGUUCCAUGUAGAAAAUCGAAAAGAACAUGAUUUAAAUUUUGGUUUCUAUGUCUUGCUUUGGUUUGAUGAGUUUGAUAGUUUAAUUAUAUUUGGUUCUUGUUUUUUUUUGAAAAUUUUUUUUAACCAAAAAUGCCAAAAUAUAAUUUGUAAUAUAUUUUCAAGUAAAUCCUCAAAGCCUUGUCCAACCAUAAUAAUCUUGUCAAAUUUUAUGAUGCAUGUGAGGAUGCACUUAACGUCUACGUAGUCAUGGAGUAUGUCUUAAUUAACUCUAGUUAACUUAACAAUGAGUAACAACGUUUCUACAUAUGAUAUUUGUUCCAUGUCACAAGAUAGAGUUGAUAUAUCCAAAACUUUUUGCAUGUAGUAUCCUACUAAUAUGCCUCUUUUCUUUCCACUUUGUAUCCUGCACUAAGGAAAAAUGAUAAUACUUUUCCAUACAAAUUUUAAAAUGAACACUUCUAAGAUGAUGGGUAGCAAUUUUUUUUUAAAAAAAAUUAUGUAGUACUUCUGUUAAUUUGGAACUCAACAAUAUGUUUUUCUCUUUUCCAGAUUAUGUGAAAGUGGAGAAUUAUUAGAAAGAAUUUUAUCCAGAGGUGGAAGGUACUCAGAGGAGGAUGCAAAAGCUAUAGUUAUUCAAAUACUGAGUGUAAUCGCCUUUUGUCAUCUUCAAGGUGUUGUGCAUCGUGAUUUAAAGCCAGAGAAUUUUCUUUUCACCACUAGAGAUGAAAAUGCUCAGAUGAAGUUGAUUGAUUUUGGCCUUUCCGAUUUUGUUAAACCAGUUUACAAAUCUCAAGUACUCCAGAGUUGAAAUUGAUGAAGUGCGGUUCGAGUGGG